GAAGGACCAGGGUCGCAUCCAGACCAACAACCGUACAUCAUGGUAUGGGAGGACUUGGCACGCUACCCACCCCCGUGGGUUCGCCCAUUCCUCCCGCCUCUCCGCCCUGGCACCAAGAUUCUAGCCAUCCGAGAAAAUGGUGAGAAAGAGAAACCGAAACCACCGCUCGGGAGAGAUGAUGAUCGCAGCACACCAGUGACGAAACCCCCCAAGAUCUAUCCAGAGAUUGAAGAACCCCCUGAGUGGCCCGAUACCCCUCAACCCCCACCGUGCCGCAUCAGUUUGAAGUAGGAGACGCAGUCCUGGUGAGGAGACACCGAGCGGGAAACCUAGAACCGAGGUGGAAGGGACCCUACUUAGUGCUACUGACAACGCCCACCGCGGUCAAAGUGGAAGGAAUCCCCACUUGGGUCCACGCAUCCCACGUUAAGAGAGCACCCCCUGGAGUCAGCCAUGAUGAGUGGACUUUGGAGAAGACUACUAAUCCUUUUAAGUUGCGCCUGCUUCGUAGGAGCGAUCCCAAAAGACUUCAACCCCCACAGUCCUGUUCAACAAACGUGGGAGGUACUCAAUGAGGGGGGUAGGGCUGUAUGGACAAUCGCCGAGGUACACCCUCUGUGGACUUGGUGGCCUGAUCUUUUCCCUGACAUCUGUAAGUUGGCUAUAGGAGCCCCUCCUGGAUGGGACUUGGAGGGGUACUCUGACAUUCAGAGGGCACCUUUAACA
rnacentral:lncRNA from 1 species